AUACUAAGCGUGGAAGAAACGGCGAGCUCUCAGCGUGUUUGGUUCCUGUGCUGCCAGCUCCACCCGCUGCUAGGAGGGCCCGAUGCCAGUGCUACCGCUAGCAAACGCUCGGUCCAGCCAGUGUCCAGAAAGAUCGAGCGAGCCCGUUAACCAACGCCAGGCACCAGCGGAAAAAUCUCCAUGCUCCCAACUUCUGUUCGCUUCCUUAGAGUGCCCGCAAGCUCCUUCUUCGCUGCUUGCUCGACAUGGUUCCCCAACGAGUCCAUCCCGCACCGAAGCUCAGCAAUCGAAUAGGCGUUGGCGGUGGGAGCUCCUUCGCUGCUUGCUCGACGCGGUUCCCCAACGAGACCAUCCCGCGCUGAAGCCCAGCAAUCGAAUAGACGUCAGCGAUGGAAGUUGCCUUCGUCGCUCCCAGCACCAACCAUCAGGAGCCCCGACGUCGACCUCCCGGCCACGGAGUCUUUGCUGGCUUCGCCUGGGUGAUGGAGAAAAGGCUUUGGAUGAUGCGGUGGAAUGCAAACAGCUGCGCCCGAAGAGGGCAAAGGCCUACUACCGCAAAGGAGCAGCUCUGAUGCUUCUGAAGGAAUAUGGAAGUGCUUAUGAUACGCUCUAUCGUGGUUUGGAGUUGGACCCUGAAAGUGAAGAGAUGGAGAAAUUAUUUUGGUAGGAGAUCCAUCUUUUCCUCUUAUUUUUCUCCAAUGAUACGAGUGUGCUAGGUCGGUUAAUAUUGUUAAGGGGAGGCGAUGGAACUGAAGUAGUUACUGCCUGCAAGAAGCUGACGCAAAACUGGAAGCUCCUUUUGGUUUCUCAUAGAUGGAUGGAUGGACACAAACGCUCAUCAGUGGGUUGCCUCUAUGGUUUACACCUUAGGUUGCUAGAUUUCAAACUAUGGAACCUUUUUUUUGUGGUGUGCAAUUCACGGAGGCUAGCGAGAAUUUAAAGCAGCAUAGGUAGUACUAUCUUGACAUUAUGUUCGAGUAGCAGCAGCUACAACAUUCUCACAUCCUGCCUGUGUAUGGAAGCAUGCCAGUGCAUGAUGUAGCGGUUAGCUGAAGUGAUAAAAUUCGCAGAAAUGUUUUGAAACUUGAAAUGCUAUGCUGCAUGGCUAACUCCCAAUUUCCCAUUCGAUGAGUAAGAAACAGGUGUCGAUAUGCUUGUUUUUUCCCCAUGUUUUCUGAAUGGAUAUAGCCGCCCU